rnacentral:lncRNA from 1 species
CUCCAACACCUUGUUAUGUGUAUGAAACAGUAAAUGUUACGAGUAUAUACAACACAACAGAAGUUAUAACUGUUAAUGAAACAGAAACAGUCUAUGUUACUGCAUCAGUAAGUUCAUUGAACGUAAUAAACGUAACCGAAACUGUUAACGUAACUGAAACUGUAACCGAGACUGUGAUAGUAUCAAGUAUUUCAGUAAUACCUUUAGCCCCGACAGUGACUGACAUUCUAGGUACGAUUCUGGCGGUGACUUCGACCGUUAUUGUCACUGCCACAUACAACGUGACAAACGUGUUUAACGAAACUGAUAUAUAUAAUUUCACGUCAACUAUAUAUCAUUCUCUAUGCACGGAUUCCUGUAGAAACGGUACUCAACCUUAUCUGUCCCCAAAUGACCCAUUGUUACUAGAAGCCAUUGCAAGUAUGUCGAAAGAACUGACAGUGGACAAAAAGACAACAAACGCUGCCAUUAGAAAAUUGACAAGUGCGUCAGACAGUCGACCGUCGUCCCGUGCUAUAGGAAUAUCAGGAUUAAUACUUCUCAUAGUACCUUUAUCGGUUAUUGUAAUCUGUGACUUACCUGCCAUUUUGCGUAAAACUAAACGCAUGAUUGAACGAAGUCGUAGGACUAGCAAUUAUCAACUUUAGUAUCACUCACAUAUUGUGUAUUUGCAGAACAUAGCGCAUUCCUGUUGACCACCUAGAGCAAAAAAAGGUUAGACAAAUCCAAAUAUACAUUAUAUAUGCCUAGACUUCAAAUUCUUAUGAUGUCUUUUCACUUAAACCGCUGGAUAUGUACUGAAUCCUAUUACAG